rnacentral:rRNA from 1 species
GACGAACGCUGGCGGCGUGCCUAAUACAUGCAAGUAGAACGCUGAAGGAGGAGCUUGCUUCUCCGGAUGAGUUGCGAACGGGUGAGUAACGCGUAGGUAACCUGCCUGGUAGCGGGGGAUAACUAUUGGAAACGAUAGCUAAUACCGCAUAAGAGUAGAUGUCGCAUGACAUUUGCUUAAAAGGUGCACCUGCACCACUACCAGAUGGACCUGCGUUGUAUUAGCUAGUUGGUGAGGUAACGGCUCACCAAGGCAACGAUACAUAGCCGACCUGAGAGGGUGAUCGGCCACACUGGGACUGAGACACGGCCCAGACUCCUACGGGAGGCAGCAGUAGGGAAUCUUCGGCAAUGGACGAAAGUCUGACCGAGCAACGCCGCGUGAGUGAAGAAGGUUUUCGGAUCGUAAAGCUCUGUUGUAAGAGAAGAACGAGUGUGAGAGUGGAAAGUUCACACUGUGACGGUAUCUUACCAGAAAGGGACGGCUAACUACGUG